rnacentral:rRNA from 1 species
AGAGUUUGAUCCUGGCUCAGGACGAACGCUGGCGGCGCGCCUAACACAUGCAAGUCGAACGGAAGUGUUCAAUCGGAAGUUUUCGGAUGGAAGAGUGGACAGUUAGUGGCGAACGGGUGAGUAACGCGUGAGUAACCUGCCCUUCAGAGGGGGACAACAGUUGGAAACGACUGCUAAUACCGCAUAAGCCCACGGUGCCGCAUGGUACAGUGAGAAAAGGAGAAAUCCGCUGAAAGAUGGACUCGCGUCCGAUUAGAUAGUUGGUGGGGUAACGGCCUACCAAGUCGACGAUCAGUAGCCGGACUGAGAGGUUGAACGGCCACAUUGGGACUGAGAGACGGCCCAGACUCCUACGGGAGGCAGCAGUGGGGAAUAUUGCACAAUGGGGGGAACCCUGAUGCAGCGACGCCGCGUGAAGGAAGAAGGUAUUCGUAUUGUAAACUUCUGUCGCAGAUGACGAAGAAUGACGGUAAUCUGCAAGAAAGCACCGGCUAACUACGUGCCAGCAGCCGCGGUAAAACGUAGGGUGCUAGCGUUGUCCGGAAUUACUGGGUGUAAAGGGAGCGCAGGUGGCAGUGCAAGUUGGAUGUAAAAUCUACGGGCUCAACCCGUAUAAGCAUUCAAAACUGUGCAGCUUGAGUGAAGUAGAGGUAGGUGGAAUUUCCGGUGUAGCGGUGGAAUGCGUAGAUAUCGGAAGGAACAUCAGUGGCGAAGGCGACCUACUGGGCUUUAACUGACGCUGAGGCUCGAAAGCAUGGGUAGCAAACAGGAUUAGAUACCCUGGUAGUCCAUGCUGUAAACGAUGAUUACUAGGUGUGGGGGCGAAAGCUUCCGUGCCGGAGUUAACACAAUAAGUAAUCCACCUGGGGAGUACGACCGCAAGGUUGAAACUCAAAGGAAUUGACGGGGGCCCGCACAAGCAGUGGAGUAUGUGGUUUAAUUCGAAGCAACGCGAAGAACCUUACCAGGUCUUGACAUCGUGCGCAUAGGCGAGAGAUCGCUGAAGUUAUUCUUUUAGAAUAACGCAUAGACAGGUGGUGCAUGGUUGUCGUCAGCUCGUGUCGUGAGAUGUUGGGUUAAGUCCCGCAACGAGCGCAACCCUUAUCAUUAGUUACUACGAAAGAGGACUCUAAUGAGACUGCCGUUGAGAAAACGGAGGAAGGUGGGGAUGACGUCAAAUCAUCAUGCCCCUUAUGACCUGGGCUGCACACGUACUACAAUGGCUGUCAACAAAGUGAACCAAAUACGCGAGUAAGAGGGAAACACAAAAAACAGUCACAGUUCGGAUUGUAGGCUGCAACUCGCCUACAUGAAGCCGGAAUUGCUAGUAAUCGCGGAUCAGCAUGCCGCGGUGAAUACGUUCCCGGGCCUUGCACUCACCGCCCGUCA